AAAUUAUCAAGAGAGGUGGAGGGAUAGGCCCUGAGAAACCCAGCAACCAGCUAUAUAUGGCAUGGUGCUAAUUCCUACAGCUUAGCUGAAAGAUGAUUA
rnacentral:ncRNA from 2 species